rnacentral:lncRNA from 1 species
AAAAGAACUUCUGUUCAUCUGAAGCUCUUGUCUGCAAUUCAGAGCGAUGCAGCUCCUCAGCAGAGACGUGUGUUGACACGAGCCCUACAGUGCCAGAGGCAGAAAGUAAGGCAGGGCAAGUCCCUGAACACAUAGGUGAUGGAACUGCACCAAGCCAUCUUCACUUCUCAAGAACACUAAGGAGUUGUUCAUAGUUGGAUGUCAGAUGUUCAAAAAAGUCCUGUGCCAUGGGAGAAAAAUGCUCGAAAACUUAACGACGGCAAACAUGAGAAAGACCAU